rnacentral:rRNA from 1 species
UACGUAGGGUGCGAGCGUUGUCCGGAAUUAUUGGGCGUAAAGAGCUUGUAGGCGGUUUGUCGCGUCUGCUGUGAAAAUCCGAGGCUCAACCUCGGACUUGCAGUGGGUACGGGCAGACUAGAGUGUGGUAGGGGAGACUGGAAUUCCUGGUGUAGCGGUGGAAUGCGCAGAUAUCAGGAGGAACACCGAUGGCGAAGGCAGGUCUCUGGGCCAUUACUGACGCUGAGAAGCGAAAGCGUGGGGAGCGAACAGG